UACGAGGGGAGCAAGCGUUGUUCGGAUUUACUGGGCGUAAAGGGCGCGUAGGCGGCGUGACAAGUCACUUGUGAAAUCUCCGGGCUUAACUCGGAACGGUCAAGUGAAACUGUCGUGCUAGAGUACAGAAGGGGCAACUGGAAUUCUCGGUGUAGCGGUGAAAUGCGUAGAUAUCGAGAGGAACACCUGCGGCGAAGGCGGGUUGCUGGGCUGAUACUGACGCUGAUGCGCGAAAGCCAGGGGAGCGAACGGG
rnacentral:rRNA from 1 species